AGCUGUGCGCAGUGGCAGUAUCAUAGCCAAUGAGGUUUAUCAGAGGCAAGAUUAUUGCUAAUUGAAAAAAAAAAUUUAUCUGUUCCACCCUCCUCUCACUUUAUCUCAGGGCUACAUAAGUGUGUUUUAGAAUUUGAUUUAUACAUUAUA
rnacentral:snRNA from 1 species